GAUGAACGCUGGCGGCGUGCCUAAUACAUGCCAGUCGAGCGAACAGACGAGGAGCUUGCUCCUCUGACGUUAGCGGCGGACGGGUGAGUAACACGUGGAUAACCUACCUAUAAGACUGGGAUAACUUCGGGAAACCGGAGCUAAUACCGGAUAAUAUAUUGAACCGCAUGGUUCAAUAGUGAAAGACGGUUUUGCUGUCACUUAUAGAUGGAUCCGCGCUGCAUUAGCUAGUUGGUAAGGUAACGGCUUACCAAGGCAACGAUGCCUAGCCGACCUGAGAGGGGGAUCCGGCCCACUUGAACCGAGGCACCGGCCAAGCCCCCAAGGGGAGGCAGAGGAAGGGAACUUUCGGAAUGGGGCGAAAGCCUGACGAAGAAACGCGCGUUGAGUGAGGAAGGCCUCCGGUUGGUAAACCUUGGUUAUAGGGGAAAACAAAAUGUGAAGGUACCGAGCACAGCCUGGCGGGUCCCAAACAAGAAGCCACGGCUAACCAACGU
rnacentral:rRNA from 1 species